GACGAACGCUGGCGGCGUGCCUAAUACAUGCAAGUAGAACGCUGAAGGAGGAGCUUGCUUCUCGGGAUGAGUUGCGAACGGGUGAGUAACGCGUAGGUAACCUGCCUGGUAGCGGGGGAUAACUAUUGGAAACGAUAGCUAAUACCGCAUAAGAGUAGAUGUUGCAUGACAUUUGCUUAAAAGUUGCAAUUGCAUCACUACCAGAUGGACCUGCGUUGUAUUAGCUAGUUGGUGGGGUAACGGCUCACCAAGGCGACGAUACAUAGCCGACCCGAGAGGGGGAUCGGCCACACUGGGGCUGAGACACGGCCCAGACUCCUAAGGGAGGCAGCAGUAGGGAAUCUUCGGCAAUGGGCGGAAGGCUGACCGAGGAACGCCGCGAGAGUGAAGAAGGGUUUCGGAUCGUAAAGCUCGGUUGUAAGAGAAGAACGAGUGUGAGAGUGGAAAGUUCACACUGUGACGGUAGCUUACCAGAAAGGGACGGCUAACUACGUG
rnacentral:rRNA from 1 species